AGCUUUCCCUUCCCCACCCUGCACCCUACCCUCUGGGAACAUGCAUAUGUACAACAAGGUGAACCUGAGCCUGACUCACUAGGCCUUGGCUGCCUCUUGGGCUUUGAGGAGCUUUCCCUGAGCAUAGGUGAUUGAACAAUGACACACUUCCAACCCUGAGAGAUUAGGAGCUCCUGGAUCCCCCAGUCAGUGCUGACUGUCCCUGGGGGGGCUGCUCCCUACAACCGUAGUAAUCCUUCUCCAAGGAGGGGGCCACUUACAGAAGGGACUACCCAAGGCAUUGACCUGAUUUGUUGGAAGAUAUAGACCUUGAGGGAGCACAUUACUGACUCAAGAUGAAAUGGCUUUUCAGCAGUGUCACUGUUCCAUGAUUUUUUGUUUUUAAGAAUUAAUCUUGAGAGAGGAUUUUGGGAAAAUAGCAGCGGGUCAGAAAAUCCCAAGAUCUCCAGGUUCCUUUUCAAACAAGACAAAAGAGCAGCAAAAGUAAAUGAGAGUUGGGGCAGAACAACGAUUCUCCUGGGACAACUGGAGAAGAUUGAAGAAACAUCCCGGGACGAAGGUUCAGCUGAGUGAAGUGUAAAUCUCUCCCGAAGCAUCAAGAGGAGGCUCUACAAUGUUCCAGGGCUUAAUGUAAGCAGCAUAAUGAAAUCCACAAACAAGAACAGCUGAAGGACCUCACCAUCCAUAGGGAAGCUGUCUCCAAAUUGAACUCUUCACUGGAUCUCGAUCAAAACAGCUACACCUUUGGCAAGUAUAUUGGCUCCCUGUUUUGUGUCUUACAAGAUGUUUACAAUCCUUGGGUUAUUGAAUAAGAAUAUUUCUAUUCUACAAGGAAUCUUGAAUGACUUUGGUGAAUGGAUGGGAGACACCACGCUGGAAAUAAGUCUUUAAGGAAUACAUUUUGUAUUAAAAAAUUAAAUUCUCUUUCCAUAGUGAUUGAAUGAUAAACAAACAAGCAUUUAUUAAGCACUUAGAAUUUGCCAGGCACUGUAUUAAGUGCUGGGAAUGCAAAUAGAAGAAAGCAAAACACUUUCAUGGAGCUGGAGGAAAAUAACACAUAAAGGGAGCUAGAAAGAAAGAAGAGGAAGGAUACACAUUCAUGGGGCAUGGUUUGGAAAUGACUGAAAAGUAAGUUGGAGGCCUGUUUAGGGGCAAGAGAAGGUCAAAGUUUACCUAUAAGAGUUCAGAGAGAUUCCAGGAAGAGUCUAAAGUUCUAGUGGGUAAGAAUGAGUCCAGUGAGGAAAAUUAGGGCAAUGACCAAUUUGCAGGUGGCCUAGUGUUUGGGAAUAAAAAGAUAAAAAUAAAAUACAAGUGUCCCUGAUCUCAAGGAAUUUAUUAUUGGUUCUACUAUUCCAACUGAAGUUCAUUGGGAAGCCCAUUUAAUCAAUGGUGCGGCACUAGAAACCCCUACAUCUCCAGUUUCAUCAGGAACCAUUGAAAUAUGUCUUCAAGCAAACAUUAAACAUAGGCCCAAAGGAGGCUAAAAAUGGCUACUGGGGAAGAAGUGGUCAAAGCUUCAAAUCCACUGAACAUUGUCAGCAAAAUUUUAAGGCUUGAGGUAGACUGGGAAGUGGUGGUUUAACAUACAGCUGCCCCUAAAAAUUAUUUCAGCUGCUCUUAAGCACUUCAAAGUAAAAGCAAACAAACUUUUGGAUGCAGAAAAAAAAAGAUAAAACUCAAGCAUUUUAAAUAAAGAAGAAAGCCUUUUUCCA